UGGUGGUGCAUGGCCGUUCUUAGUUGGUGGAGUGAUUUGUCUGGUUAAUUCCGAUAACGAACGAGACCUCAGCCAUCUAAAUAGCUGUCGCUAAAUUUUCUUAGCGCUAUUCUUCAAGAAUAGUUCAGCUUCUUAGAGGGACUAUCUGUGACCCCAACAGAUGGAAGUUUGAGGCAAUAACAGGUCAGUGAUGCCCUUAGAUGCUCUGGGCUGCACGCGCGCUACAAUGGUGCACUCAGCGAGUUUAUCCUAGCCUGGAAAGGCUCGGUAAUCUUGAAAGUGCACCCAAGUUGGGAUAGAUGAUUGCAAUUUU
rnacentral:rRNA from 1 species